rnacentral:lncRNA from 10 species
GGGAUCUGCCCGGAACGCAUCCCAUCCCAAACUGCAAAACCACAAGCAUCAACAGCAGGAGCCGAGCAAAGUGCUCGGCGGAGGAAGAGGAAGGGCGAGGGAGAGAAAUGGUCGAGUACAGAAGCCUGCGUGUGGGUAAGAAAAUACCCUAACCACUCGCCCACCGGACGCAGGGCGGCUGGGACUGCGAAUCCAGCAGCAGCCACAGCGUAGCAGCGGGCGGCAGCCGCCGAGGCAGCAAUGUCAGGAGGGCACAGCUGGAGGAGGCGGCCGCCAAAGCCACUACCCCACCCCCAGGAAGAUUUGGAAAAGAGGCACUGGCUACUGGAGGAAGGGAGAAAUCACCGAGAGAGCGAAAGAUGUAACAGUGACUCAUGCCUAUAAUCCCAGUACUUUGGAAGGUCAAGGCACAAGGAUCCAUUGAGGCCAGGAGUCCAAGACCAGCCUGCACAAUGUAGCAAGACUCCUUCUCUACAAAAAAAUAAAUAAAAAUUAGCCAGGCAUGGUGGUGCACUCCUGUAGUCCCAGCUACUCAAGAGGCUGAUGUAGAGAAUCGCAUUAUCCCAGAGGUCAAGGCUGCAGUGAGCCGUGAUCAUGCCUCUGCACUCCAGCCUGGACGAUAGAGCAAGACUUUAUCUCAAAAAACAAAAAUUUAAAAAGAUAUCAGGUAGCUCAUAGAAUUGUUGAGAGGGCUGUAAAACCAGGCUUGAACUUAAACAGCAACGAUAAACCACCCACAGAACGGACAUGAUGAAGAAGUUGGCAAAUGUUACCAACUGUCCUGGUUUUUUUGGUGACUGUAGUUUCCAAGGAUUCAGAUCCUUCCAUGCCAAAAUCUGAAAAAUGCUGGGCAAAGUAUGACUGACAAUGUGGUAAUCUUACAGCUAGCACUAGAGACAUCAAGCACUAGACAACACAAUUUGCCCUUUGGCCACUUAUACAAUGGGAACUCACGCUUGCAGUAACCUCUAUUGCCACUAGGAGAGAGAAACACAGAAGGAGGAAGGGAGAAGGGAGAGAGAGGAAAAAAACUGUUGCUUGUCUCCUUAGCUGUGAGUCAAAGGUCUAACACAGAUGUCUGGCUGAAAAGCCUAGGUCACAUGCCUGCACCCCAGAGAAAGUAUGUGACAUCUUCUGCUUCCAUUAUGGGAAACAGCCUUUGCUUGUCACGAAGAUUUACAUGGUGAGACAUAUCCUAAAUAUAGGGAAGCUGUUGAAGUGGCCCAAAUAAUGACCAAUUUCUACUAAUUUGUACUAAUAUCCAAAUUACUUUUAAUUAUCUAAUAUUACUUAGAUACAGUGAGGCAACCAUUCGUUGGAUAUAUAAUGGUUUCUUUGAUUUCAAAAAUCUUUUUUUAUGUAAUAUAUGUCUGAAGACCAUCAAAAUAAAUUCUUAAAGUCAGAUUAAUAGGAUGUUACUUAUAAUAUUAUUGUAAUUAUUUGACCACAUAAUAGUUUAUGCCCAUUAUAUACUAUGUAAUUGUAUGAUGGAAAUAAUGCUGUACUUUGUUUGUAAAAGUUUAAUUAUCCUGACCUUUGUUCAUCAUAAAGAAUUGCUCCAUUUCUAUUAUUUAUCGAGGAAAAAAGUUUCUCUCUUUUUGUUUUUAAUAUGUCAUUAGGAGAAGAGUAGUUACACGUAGGCUAGAGUGUUUGCCAAGAAGAAAUUGAUUUUAAUGGGAACCUUUUAUCUAAGACAAACUUUAAGAAGAGCAGUAAUGGACAAUGUGUUCUGUGCAACUCUUCAGCCUUCAGUCUCACAUUCAUUGUGGUCAAGUAUUUUCAGCAAAGAAUAACAAGUCAGAGUUUGUGUAUAUUUUUCAUAGCUGUUCAUUCUCUUACAGAGUAACCUUGAACAAACCUCUUAAGAUUUGUGUUUUAUCUUCAUAUACUGAAAUACAAAAUGGGAAUGCCUAUAUUUAAUCAAAGAUAUAAUUUUUACUGAUAGAUAGUAAAGAACAAAACACUGGAACAAGAAUUCCUGUCCUGCCUUUCACAAUGUGGUUUUGAGGCCUUGGCCAUGUCACUUAAAUUCUCAUAUCUGUUUUCUCAAUCUAUAAAUGAUCAUAAUACCUGCACUAUCUGUCUCAAAUUGCAUAUGUGAAAGCAUCUUAAAGGUACAAAACAAUAAAUACAAAGCAUUAUUAUUAAAUUAUUACACCUUCCAGCAUUUAAUGCUAAAAAUGCCAAAUGCGUCCUUUGGUUAUAUGUAGGAAAUAUGUCUCAGAAAAAUCAAUUUAAAAUUAUAGAAGCUAACAGGUAAGUCAUUUUAAGUGUGUGGUUAUCUUCUGCAUGGCAGAUUUUUAAAUGGUAAUUAUUAAUGAAGUUUUCCUAUACUUACUGUUUCCAAGACUCCAUUCUUUCCAAAGUUUUCUGAGUUAUGCUUAUCAUCCCUUAAGUCUUAGGGAUGCUCUUCUGAGCUUUUGG